AUUGAACGCUGGCGGCAUGCUUUACACAUGCAAGUCGAACGGUAACAGGGAGCUUGCUCCGCUGACGAGUGGCAAACGGGUGAGUAAUGCGUCGGAACGUGCCGAGUAGUGGGGGAUAACGCAGCGAAAGUUGUGCUAAUACCGCAUACGUACUGAGGUAGAAAGUGGGGGACCUUCGGGCCUCACGCUAUUCGAGCGGCCGACGUCUGAUUAGCUAGUUGGUGAGGUAAAGGCUCACCAAGGCGACGAUCAGUAGCGGGUCUGAGAGGAUGAGCCGCCACACUGGGACUGAGACACGGCCCAGACUCCUACGGGAGGCAGCAGUGGGGAAUUUUGGACAAUGGGCGCAAGCCUGAUCCAGCCAUGCCGCGUGUCUGAAGAAGGCCUUCGGGUUGUAAAGGACUUUUGUCCGGGAGCAAAUGCUGGUGGCUAACAUCCACCGGAGCUGAGAGUACCGGAAGAAUAAGCACCGGCUAACUACGUGCCAGCCGCCGCCGUAAGAC
rnacentral:rRNA from 1 species